rnacentral:RNase_P_RNA from 1 species
GCAGUCGGGCAUUUCGUCGCGCAUCGACUUCGAGAGCGGUGUGAGGAAAGUCCGGUCAACGUAGAGCACCAUAUUUCCUAACGGGAAGCUAUCGGCGACGGUAGGUAUGCAUGACAGAAAACGACCGCCUUCCCAGCUCGGGAAGGUAAGGGUGAAAAGGUGAGGUAAGAGCUCACCGGACGCCGUAGUGAUACGGUGUGCCGCAUGCACUAUGGGUUGUAAGGCCAAGUAUACCGGCAUUUAAGGGCUGCUCGUCCAUUGCCGGGGGGUAGGCUGCUAAAGCUGUGUGGCGACACUCAGCGUAGAUAAAUGACGAAACGCUGAUCCUCUUGGAUCGGUCGACAUAACCCGGCUUAUCGUCCGACUGCACAU